UGGUUUUUUAGUUAUGGUUAAUACUGGACAAGUCUACACUUAAGAAUGGUAAGUUCUGAUAAUGGAUGAUGCCGUAGCUUAUUGCUUAUCUGGAUUGGUAUUAGUUGCCUUUCAGAACUGGGAUUUCCUUAGUAACCUAUUUUUCCAUCCCUUACCCUGUGAAGGUUGUAUGCUUUUGAUGUAAACGGCAACUCUUUCUUCCCCAUGUUUGCGCUGCUUUAUGGUUAGUACAAAGUCAAAAUGCAUUCCUUAUUGAAUAAGCUUUUUCAUAAUACACACUGAACUUCUAUUCACAUUGUUUUUCUUAGAGACAGCUGUACAUUAUUUUCCGUCGCCUCUUCUGGUAAGCUCAUGGUUUUGUUCCUGUUUUGCUGUCAAAUUUGCAUUUCCUACUAUCAUUACCUCAAUUUUCUAGGCUAUGAUGGUAAUACGAGUUUUACUGGAAAUAGUGUCUUUUUUUCUUAUUCAAAGCCAUUCUAAGGAAUUUUACAUAGAAAAUUGAGAAACAUAUGAAAGUGGCUUGUGUUUAAAAGAAAACUCUUAUUGUCAAAAUUUACUGAUUUUCUCGUCCGCUAUGCAGUAUUGCCACUAUUGGAGAGAACAACAUUUUUUCUGUAUCCAAUUUGUUUUGUCAUUGUCAUAUCUCCUAUCUGUAAGUAUUUACUAUACCUGUUUGUUAUGCAACAUUUAUUGCCAUAUAGAUGAAUAUUUAUAUCUUACAGUGAUUUUGAGCAGCUGCAACCCAUCAAGAUACCUUAUGAACAUGUACUUCAGUCGAUUGCUAUAGAUGCUGCUAACAGGCACUUUAGAUGACGUAUAUGAUGAUCGAAGGAAAUUCCUCAAAAUACUCUAAAGAACACAAGACAGUUAAUGUAUUCAUUUACGCGUGAGGAAGACGACCGGCGUGACCCAGGAAAGAUUCAGUCAGUCCAGUGGGGCCUUUCUUUAUUUGACCGAAAAUGAGUUAGUUUUGCCGUACUGAGAAAUUAGAUUAGUGAAAUCGUUACAUAUGGGUUUUGCGUCUUAUUUCCGUCAUCUGCUUGAGACAAUUAUUUGUGACACCUUAUGAUGGGAAGUAGUGAAUUCCCUUGCAAUGCUGCUGUUUUAAGCAAUGUUGAUAAUAUAGGAUACUUGUCAAACAACAGAAAUUUCUCUUUUGUUCCCCAAAAUUUUUUCUUUUGUGAAUUUUCAUUUUUACCGUAUUUCAUUAGGAAUUAUGUUUUGACAGAUCAAUCCUGCGUAUGGUACAGUAUGGUUUCACUUUGCUAGAACUCCGAAUCAUUCCCUAAGCUUAAAUAGAUUUUCCUUAGUUCCAGACAAGAACAUUAAAAAAAUUGGAUGAAAUUUGAAGAAGAGAGAGCCGAGGUGGUCCCUUAGACUGAUAAAUUGAAUUCCAAAAUUUAGCGAUUUUAAAUGUGUAGAUAUCAACUCUAGCUUAUUAUUUUUAUCAAAUGCUCCGAACGUGUAUACCUAAGAUCUCUGCAUCACUGAACAGGCAAUUCCCAGAAUCUUCAUGGCUGGAAAUGCCAGAAAACUACAUCCAUUUUGAGGUUCACCUCUACUUGCUCUUUUGAUCAAGAAUGGCAACCCGUCAAUAUUUUAUUGACGGAUAAUGGACAUUCCAGUGGUA
rnacentral:lncRNA from 1 species